GAUGUGAAAUCCCCGGGCUCAACCUGGGAACUGCAUUCGAAACUGGCAGGCUUGAGUCUUGUAGAGGGGGGUAGAAUUCCAGGUGUAGCGGUGAAAUGCGUAGAGAUCUGGAGGAAUACCGGUGGCGAAGGCGGCCCCCUGGACAAAGACUGACGCUCAGGUGCGAAAGCGUGGGGAGCAAACAGGAUUAGAUACCCUGGUAGUCCACGCCGUAAACGAUGUCUACUUGGAGGUUGUGCCCUUGAGGCGUGGCUUCCGGAGCUAACGCGUUAAGUAGACCGCCUGGGGAGUACGGCCGCAAGGUUAAAACUCAAAUGAAUUGACGGGGGCCCGCACAAGCGGUGGAGCAUGUGGUUUAAUUCGAUGCAACGCGAAGAACC
rnacentral:rRNA from 2 species